ensembl:lncRNA
CCCCCCCACUUUUGCCACCGGGUUUGAGUGCUGGGGGGGUGUGGGCCGUCCCCCCGCCGCGCUCCUCCCCACCGCAGGGCCCCCCCGGUGCCUUCAUCCUCCUCCUCCUCCUCCUCCUCUCUGUGUCGGCUCCGCAGCCCCCGCGUGUAUCCUUCAGCUCCGUCCCCACUGCCGGAGGAACCCAUGGGGCCCCCAGGUGGGUGCUGCCCCCCCCCGCCAGGGAAGGGGGGCUCGGAUUUUUGGGGGUGGGGGUCACCAUCGAUAUCCCCCCCCUCCAGAGUGUCCCCCACGGGGCAGACGGCGGAGCCGCCAGGGCACAACCUGAGCUGCGUGUCCUAUAAGCACCCCAGUGUGCGGGGCAGCCUGGUGGGGGGGGAGGUGGGGGCAGCCCCCAGCACCGUUCGCUGCCCCCCCGGCAGUGCUGCAUUGGGAUCUGGAACCGCAGUCAGGCGCUGGUGCAGGGCUGCUGGGGGGGCGGGGGGGCCGCCUGCCCCUCUCCUUCCUGCACCCCAGCCCCGCCGGACCCCCCGGAGCCGCUGUCCUCGUGUGCCUCUGCCACGGUCACCUCUGCAACGGGAACGCCAG